rnacentral:lncRNA from 1 species
UCACACAUUAAGAGAUUUAAUCUCGAAUUUACCAAUUGAGCUUUUAAAGUUCUAAUUGGAUAAGGAUUUAUUGAAACCCUAUUAGGUUUAUGAGAACCAUACUAGCAUACGGUUAAACCUAAUUUUUCUCAGGACUUCAAUUUGAUCAAGUCUAUAGCCUUGAACCUAACCUAAAUCUAUUUGAAUUUAAUUGGUCUCUUAAUUGUGAGCCCA